rnacentral:rRNA from 1 species
UAAGGAAUAUUGGUCAAUGGACGCAAGUCUGAACCAGCCAUGCCGCGUGAAGGAUGAAGGUCCUCUGGAUUGUAAACUUCUUUUAUCUGGGACGAAAACGGGAUUUUUAUCUCAAUUGACGGUACCAGAGGAAUAAGCACCGGCUAACUCCGUGCCAGCAGCCGCGGUAAUACGGAGGGUGCGAGCGUUAUCCGGAUUUACUGGGUUUAAAGGGUGCGUAGGUGGGCUUAUAAGUCAGUGGUGAAAUCUCCGAGCUUAACUUGGAAACUGCCGGUGAUACUAUAGGUCUUGAAUUAUCUGGAGGUAAGCUGAAUAUGUCAUGUAGCGGCGAAAUGCUUAGAUAUGACAUAGAACACCAAUUGCGAAGGCAGCUUACUACAUAUAAAUUGACGCUGAGGCACGAAAGCGUGGGGAUCAAACA